AUGCCGCCUCAUAAGAUAGAGACUGGCCACCAAGAUGUGGUGCAUGACAUCGCAAUGGAUUACUAUGGGAAGCGUAUUGCCACUGCCUCCUCUGAUAACACAAUCAAGAUCAUUGGCGUAAGUGGCACCUCGCACCAGCAACUUGCCACUUUGAGCGGACAUGAGGGCCCAGUCUGGCAAAUUGCAUGGGCUCAUCCCAAGUAUGGCUCCAUGCUUGCAUCCUGCAGCUACGAUGGUCGGGUCAUCAUAUGGAAAGAAGGGAGUAAGCCCGAUGAGUGGGCACAGGCACACACUUUCAAUGAGCACAAGUCUUCUGUCAAUUCCAUUGCUUGGGCGCCUCAUGAGCUCGGCCUAUGCUUGGCCUGUGGUUCAUCUGAUGGGAAUAUCUCAGUCUUCAUGGCUCGUUCUGACGGAGGGUGGGAGACGACGCGCAUCGAUCAGGCACAUCCAGUGGGAGUUACCUCUGUUUCCUGGGCCCCAUCAAUGGCGCCGGGUGCUCUAAUCAGCCCAGGGCCUUCUGGGCAGUUCGAGUACGUCCAGAAACUUGCUUCUGGUGGCUGCGACAACACGGUCAAGGUGUGGAAGCUCACCAACGGGAGUUGGAGGAUGGGCUGA
rnacentral:rRNA from 1 species